AGAUUUUAUAAUAAGGGAUGGAACUGUGGAGGACAGAUCUUUUCUCAUCUUUCUGUGUUUCUUCUCUUCCUAGGCCUAAUGCAGCACUGCUAGACAAAUCCAGCUAGUAAGAAGGAAGAUGACACUGAAACCCAGUUAGCCUCAUUCCUCAACUUGGAGCUAUCAUCCUACACUGUAUGAGAUGUGGCAGUGACACUGGAACACACAUACCCUCCUUCACUUGAAGAUCACACAUAAAAACUGGCAAAUGUCUUCCACUUUCAGGCAAAUGAAAACAACUUUCAGGGCCAUCAGCUUUAGCCAAGAUAGUCUUCUUACUGCAGAUGACAAAAAUACAGACUUCCAAGAUAUAUUAUCCAAAUAUAUCUAAUCUUUCUG
rnacentral:lncRNA from 1 species